AUUGAACGCUGGCGGCAGGCCUAACACAUGCAAGUCGAACGGAUGGCGGACUGGUGAGUAAUUUAUGGGCAACUGCCUGAUGGAUGGGGAUAACUACGGGAAAAGGUAGCUAAUACCGCAUACCAUCAGAUGUGCCAAGAUGGGUUUAGCUUGUUGGUGGGUUAACGGCUCACCAAGGCGACAAUCCCUAGCUGGUCUGAGAGGAUGACCAGCAACACGGGACCUGAGACAGGGUCCAGACUCCUACGGGAGGCACCAGUGGGAAAUAUGGCAAAAUGGGGGCAAGCCGGAUGCACACAGUCGGCGGGGAUGAAGCAGGCCUUCGGUUUGUAAAGUAUGUUCAGCGGGGAGGCGGUACCCGCAGAAGAAGCAACGGCUAACUCCGUGCCAGCAGCCGCGGUAAUUC
rnacentral:rRNA from 1 species